CAGAACACACUCCACCACCAGCUAAACGCAGAUCUGCACACACUUCCUGUGAUUGCUCGAGUUGUUGAUAAACAGCGAGCACAUGCUGGAAACUGUUUCUGGCAUUUUGUCUUUGAACAGAUCGACUGAUACUUGUAUUUAACUCCUAAACCAGUAGUGUGACGAUCUGUAGUCUGCCAUGUUUCUGCAAUUACACGCUGAACAAUGAGACUUCUCUGCUCAGGACACUGAUGGAUUUUAUAAAAGAGUUUACUACAGCUGUGACGCACAUCAUUUUGUCUGUCUCAUCACUCAAUGCUGCUUAUUGGCUGUUCAAGAAUCACAGAGCAUCCUCAUUGGGCUUCCUCCUGAUCGGCUGUUCCUCCAUUCUUUCAUUCUUAUCUCCCACUAACCAUAACAUCACGAAUGAUCUGAAAUGGGCAGGUGAAUCACUUGGACCUGUGUUUUUUACAUUUGACCUUCUGUGGCUUAGUGACGACCACAUCACAGCCCGCAUCCUCCUGAUUGGCUCCAGUUUUUUCAUAAUACUGUCUGAUUGGCUGUCGUCAGAUGGAUUGGUCAUUAUGUCCCGCUGCCUGGCCUUUUCUACCCUUUCCUGUUCGCUGACAGUGUGUGCUUUUGCUGAAAAUGUUGCAGGGGCAGUGGGAAGUGUUGCCCUCAGUCUCCCUUUAUUAGUUUCCCCAAGGAACAGAUCUGGAGCUUUGGGUUUCCUUAUGUUGCCUACUGAAGGACUUCUCAGAGGGAUGCUUAAUGUCAUAAUGGCAUUUGGUUGCUGGACUACCAGAAAAGCCCUUAAUAAAUUCCUGAUUGAUUUGAAAAGCUGGGACUGACUUGGGAGGGAAGAAAUGGUUUCCAAAUACAAUAGACCAUUUGUUCUCAGGUUAUUAGCAUAUAUAUGCACUGCUAAUGUGGAUUGUUGCAUGUAAAGGCCUUCUGUCAUAAUAAGCUAAUGUUGCAGUACUGUAUGUUAUACUACACAAAGUAGAGUUUGCUUAUAACCUAUUAAAUCCAUUACAGUGACACUGAAGGCUAGUAAAAACCUUUAGCAAUGAAUAAAUAGUUCAGCAUCAUGAACAAUACAGCUCUUUGUAAAGAAAGAAUGGGACUCUGUUUGGACCAGUGUUGCCAUGACCGCAUAUUAUAAUUUGGUUGCCCAUGGCAAAUUUGCAUACUACUUUAAAUUCGAUAGUUUCCUUAAAUGUCAAAUUGCAACAUACAGUAACCCUGUUUAUGCAGUUUUGGAUUGAUUAUCACAAAAAUAAUAAAUACAUCCUGGGUACACUCUUAAAAAUAAA